rnacentral:lncRNA from 1 species
GUCUAAUAUGGAUGAAGUUAGUGAAAUAGGCCAUGACCACCAAAAAGCCAUAAACAAUGUUAUGCCGACGAACACGUGGGUGCACGUGGACGGUGAUGCUGCAUUUUCGUUCAAGGCACCUUCGUAUACCAUUGUGCUGUUUAUAAGAGGUGACGUUGGCGUUGUUGUUGUUGUGGGUUCCCCGUUUUCCCCUUUUGAUGAUUUCUGGCUGGCAAAUUUACGUGCCAAAACAAAACGUUAAAAACAUUGCAAAUUAGAAGGAAAAAAAAAAAAAAGAACUCUGGGUCAGAGUAAAAUAUAUUGAAAAACCCUUGGAAUUGAAGCAUUUAUUUUGAGUAUUGCAAUAAUAGAAUAUUGAUGAUAGGCGUGCACUGCUCAGUCUGGCAGAGCAAUGGUUUCAAGGGUUUGGUAUAAAAAAGCGAUGCCUACAGGAGGCAGCCAUGCAGCGACUCUUCACUUCAUUUUUUUAAGGUUAUUUUACCCAUUUGACCCCCCAAAAAAUAAUAUUUUCAAAAAUAACUCUGAUUAAAAAACAUUUACUCAAAUGAUUUGAAAUAAACAGUAAAAUUGAGUUAUGAGAAGUAGAUGAUCGACCCCACUAUUUUUUCCCAUUAAAAAAAAUAACUUUUGUGGUUUUAGACACUAGAUGGUCGGCAUUCAUGUAUUUUUUUCAAUUUUUUUUUGUGUUAGCACAUUGAUGGUCGACAUCCCUUUAUCUGAUUAAAAUUUUUUUUAAGAUGCAAUACUGGCCAACAAAUAGCCAAAAUCACCCAGCAAAAGAUAUUAAGAAUAUUGCAACAUAAUCCCUCAUUGUUUUCUCAUCUUUUUUAUUUCUCAUGUUUAAUUAUAUAUUUUAUAUCUUAAAAUAAUAUUAAAAUACUUAUCAUAUUUUUUAAGUAUUAUUGCAUCACUCACAUUAUUAUUAAUGAGAAAACAAGGAGGGAUUAUGUUGCAAUAUUCUCAACCUCUUUUGUUGGGUAAUUUUAGCCAUUUGUUGGCUAGCACUACACCCCUAAAAAAAUUAUUUUUUAAUUAGAUAAAAAAGUAUCAACCAUCAAUAUAUCAGCAUCCUAAUUUUUUUUUUAAAAAAAAUACAUGAUUGUAGUCUAUCUAAUUCUCAUAACCCAAUUUUACAGCCUACAUGGAACUUCAACUUCCACAUUUAUUAUUUACUGCCAUUGGGGAUAGAACCUUUUUUUCAUGAUAAAAAUUACCCUUUGACGUUAAACGUGCGAAAAAGUUGGAAAAGGUUGGUAAAGUCCACCAACAAAAAAGAAAAAAAACAGUUUGGUAAAGUAAAUUACCUGGUGUUAGGCGAAGGGCAGAAAGUAAUCGUGUAAUCAGCAUUGGCACAUGUGAAAGUACUGGUUUUAUCAUCGUAGGCAUAGCUGUAGGCGAGAGGGCAAGCUGUCUUAAAGAUCUUCGAGUACGAAGAAGGCUUGCAGAUGUCUGGUGUUGCAUACGCGCCGUUGCAACAGUACUGAGGCUGGCGGAAGGCCUCGCAAGCACUCUUGCAAGCGACGCCGUCUCCGCCGUCUGCGCUC